AACGAACGCUGGCGGCGUGCCUAACACAUGCAAGUCGUACGAGAAAGCCUGGGCAACCGGGUAAGUAAAGUGGCGCACGGGUGAGUAACACGUGGGUAACCUACCCUUGAGUUGGGGAUAACUCCGCGAAAGCGGGGCUAAUACCGAAUAACAGGCCGAGAUCUUUGGAUUUUGGUGUCAAAGGUGGCCUCUGCUUGCAAGCUAUCGCUUAAGGAUGGGCCCGCGUACCAUUAGCUAGUUGGCAGGGUAAUGGCCUACCAAGGCAACGAUGGUUAGCUGGUCUGAGAGGAUGGCCAGCCACACUGGAACUGAGAUACGGUCCAGACUCCUACGGGUGGCUG
rnacentral:rRNA from 1 species